GAUGAACGCUGGCGGCGUGCCUAAUACAUGCAAGUCGAGCGAACAGACGAGGAGCUUGCUCCUCUGACGUUAGCGGCGGACGGGUGAGUAACACGUGGAUAACCUACCUAUAAGACUGGGAUAACUUCGGGAAACAGGAGCUAAUACCGUAUAAUAUAUUGAACCGCAUGGUUCAAUAGUGAAAGACGGUUUUGCUGUCACUUAUAGAUGGAUCCGCGCCGCAUUAGCUAGUUGGUAAGGUAACGGCUUACCAAGGCAACGAUGCGUAGCCGACCUGAGAGGCUAAUCGCCCACGCUGGAACUGAGACACGGUCCAGACUCCUACGGGAGGCAGCAGUAGGGAAUCUUCCGCAAUGGGCGAAAGCUUGACGGAGCAACGCCGCGUGAGUGAUGAAGGUCUUCGGUUCGUAAAACGCUGUUAUUAGGGAAGAACAAAUGUGUAAGUAACUAUGCACGUCUUGACGGUACCUAAUCAGAAAGCCACGGCUAACUACGUG
rnacentral:rRNA from 1 species